rnacentral:rRNA from 1 species
CCUACGGGCGGCAGCAGUAGGGAAUCUUUCACAAUGGGCGAAAGCCUGAUGGAGCAACGCCGCGUGCAGGAUGAAGGCCUUCGGGUUGUAAACUGCUUUUAUAAGCGAGAAAUAUGAUGGUAACUUAUGAAUAAGGAUCGGCUAACUACGUGCCAGCAGCCGCGGUCAUACGUAGGAUCCGAGCAUUAUCCGGAGUUACUGGGUGUAAAGAGUUGCGUAGAUGGAAUAAUAAGUAGCUAGGGAAAUCUGGUGGCGCAACCAUUCAGACUAUUAGCUAAACUGUUAAGCUCGAGAACGUUAGGGGUAACUGGAAUUUCUAGUGUAGGAGUGAAAUCCGUAGAUAUUAGAAAGAACACCGAUAGCGUAGGCAGGUUACUGGGACGGUUCUGACACUAAGGCACGAAAGCGUAGGGAGCAAACGGGAUUAGAUACCCGUGUAGUC